rnacentral:rRNA from 1 species
GGCCUAUCAGCUUGUUGGUGAGGUAGUGGCUCACCAAGGCGACGACGGGUAGCCGGCCUGAGAGGGCGACCGGCCACACUGGGACUGAGACACGGCCCAGACUCCUACGGGAGGCAGCAGUGGGGAAUAUUGCACAAUGGGCGAAAGCCUGAUGCAGCGACGCCGCGUGAGGGAUGACGGCCUUCGGGUUGUAAACCUCUUUCAGCAGGGAAGAAGCGAAAGUGACGGUACCUGCAGAAGAAGCGCCGGCUAACUACGUGCCAGCAGCCGCGGUAAUACGUAGGGCGCAAGCGUUGUCCGGAAUUAUUGGGCGUAAAGAGCUCGUAGGCGGCUUGUCACGUCGGUUGUGAAAGCCCGGGGCUUAACCCCGGGUCUGCAGUCGAUACGGGCAGGCUAGAGUUCGGUAGGGGAGAUCGGAAUUCCUGGUGUAGCGGUGAAAUGCGCAGAUAUCAGGAGGAACACCGGUGGCGAAGGCGGAUCUCUGGGCCGAUACUGACGCUGAGGAGCGAAAGCGUGGGGAGCGAACAGGAUUAGAUACCCUGGGUAGUCCACGCCGUAAACGGUGGGCACUAGGUGUGGGCAACAUUCCACGUUGUCCGUGGCCGCAAGCUAACGCAUUAAGUGCCCCGCCUGGGGAGUACGG